AUUGAACCAGCGGUUUCCGUACGAUCACCGAAGUUAAGCAACGUCGAGCCUGGUCAGUACCGAGAUGGGUGACUGCUUCGGAAUACCAGGUGCUGUAAG